rnacentral:rRNA from 1 species
GAUGAACGCUAGCUACAGGCUUAACACAUGCAAGUCGAGGGGAAACGAUAGAGAAAGCUUGCUUUUUCUAGGCGUCGACCGGCGCACGGGUGAGUAACGCGUAUCCAACCUGCCCAUCACUUGGGGAUAACCUUGCGAAAGUAAGACUAAUACCCAAUGAUAUCCGUCGAAGACAUCUGAAGUGGAUUAAAGAUUCAUCGGUGAUGGAUGGGGAUGCGUCUGAUUAGCUUGUUGGCGGGGUAACGGCCCACCAAGGCAACGAUCAGUAGGGGUUCUGAGAGGAAGGUCCCCCACAUUGGAACUGAGACACGGUCCAAACUCCUACGGGAGGCAGCAGUGAGGAAUAUUGGUCAAUGGGCAGAGCCUGAACCAGCCAAGUAGCGUGCAGGAUGACGGCCCUAUGGGUUGUAAACUGCUUUUAUAAGGGAAUAAAGUGAGUCUCGUGAGACUUUUUGCAUGUACCUUAUGAAUAAGGACCGGCUAAUUCCGUGCCAGCAGCC